ensembl:lncRNA
GUGUCUUUAUCCAUCAUGGACUCAAUCAACAUUUAGCAAUUUAUCAGCCAAGUCAACAUUUUGCCUUAACAUACUUUGAAUUUGGAGCUGGUCAGGGGAAUUGUAAAAAUGACCCUGAAUACCUUCAACAUGACCUCAACAUUCUCAAAACCCAGUUCUUAAAAAUGACCUUUAGAGGUAUAUCUAUAUGUAGAUCAAUUGGACACAGACACUAUAAUUAAAGACAUCUAACAUAUGUCUGUUCUAACCACAGCACAUGCCAAAUUGCUUUAUUUCUCUUAUACCACAGACAAUUGCCAAUUAUUAAAAUUUUUAUAAAAAUUUAUACAAUUACAAUUUAUAAAUGAACAACCCAUACUUUUUUUUAUCCAUUUUUAGCUACACAUAAUGUUCAUGACACAAGUUGGUAAAAAAACAACAACACAACAACAACAAACAAAAAAUGCAGAUUGUCAUUUUACAGAGGAACAUGCAAAAAACCGUCGGUCCCAAAGACUUUGCCAUGGUGAAUAAUUACUGACUGCUACAAAGUGCUGACACUGGAGACUCCGUCCAUGAAUGUAUCAUUACAGAGAACAUCACCAUAUCAACUAUUGUAUGCUUUUUUUGUUAAAUAAGAAAAUGUGUAUUAAUUUGUUUAUUUUGAGUUUUGAUUAUGUUGAGCGUCCACCAUACAAGUCCCUAUGAAUAAUUUGUUACUAUAGAAACGAUAAAGUAUUAAAACGAGUGCAUUAAUAUGAACCUGUCAGAACUGCUUUUAUAGAUAUUUAAACAGCACCUUUCGCCCAAUCAGAUUCGAGUAGAUAGAAUAAGCAUGCUCUGUCUUGGACUCAUUGACUGUCUCAUUGACUAACUCAACAACACCAUGCAUGUUUUUUUAAAAGCUUGAUCUACAAAGCAACAGUAACCAAGUGCGAGUAAGGGCCUUUAUGUGUUGAAAUUAAGAGCAAAGUUAGAGCAAAGAAAGUCUGAAAGAAAGAAACAAACUGUGCAGUUUUCUUAACCAGCCUUUUAAUCUAUGUACAUUUGAAUUUUUAUUUUUAUUAGAAUUCAAGGUAAGAAAUAGGAAUUUGUUUGGAGAUUUGUUUUGUCUCUCAGUCCCACAUCACUUGUCCUCCUCACCCUCCUCUUGAGAAUCAGAGUAGAGUUUGGAGACAUUUCCAUCCUUCCACGUGACCACAAUGUCACCAGGGUUCAGAGCCUCAAUCUCACUGGCUCCCUCCGCUGGUAAUUUGCUGUCUAGUUGUCCAUCUUGGCCAGUGCAGGAGUCGUUGUCCUCCUUGAUCUCAGUGAUGACUCGAAGCUCCUCCACUUCCACGUUCACUGUGGCAGGAGAUGCAGUGGUGGCGGACUUGUACUUGGCUAUUUCUCUCCGAUGUCUGCAAAAUAACCGUAUUAUUUACCCAUUCUGUUCAGACAUACUCAAUAGAUUCAUUUUCACUUAAUGACUUUUCUCUAAAGCUUAACCAUUUGUAAUCAAGGCAUUCAUUUCUCAGUGCAGUAUAUUCAUUGUGAUUUCAUGUGUGUGAAUACUGACUUGUUACCCAUCGUUCCCAUGAGGCAGAGCACACAUCCCAAAAGCAGAGCCACGAGAGACAAGCCCAGCAUUGCAAAUUUCCAGGGUGUUGCUGUAAAUAAAAGUGAGCCACUUGUUAAUUUGCUAAACAUUAACUACCAUCCUCACCAGGUUUAAUAUAUUGCUAGACAUGCCAGCAUUAUUUGAGUAGAACUAUAAAGCAAAGAAGCUUUGUAGGACAAAUGGUUUGGCAAUAAAUGAGCUUUAAACUGUUUUCCACAUGCAGUUGAUCACUAGCAACAAGAUGACAGGUAGAUAUUUGCUUUUUAAAUAAAGUUUUAAAUGAGCUAUGAGACUAAUAUAGCUAACAAGUAAUGACAGUGUGACUACAAAAUAUUUUCUAUUGAUAUCUGCCUCACACUGCAUCCAUUUCAAAGGUAAUGCCAUAAAAAUUUGUAAUUUAGGACUGAAUGACUCAUCUAUAAAAACAUAAGGUUAGGACUGUAAGGACACUGGGGACAUCAACUUCUUUCUCUUUCAGCUGCUUACAUUAGGGGUCGCCACAGCGGAUCACCCGUCUCCAUUAUGGAAGUCCGGUUUAUGAUCCGCAUGUUCGAUUUGGCAAAGGUUUACCCCACAUACUCUUUCUGAUGCAACCCUUCCAUUUUCUCCAGGCUUGGGGCCAGCACUGAGACUGCACUAGCUUGUGCUGCACCAUCGUAGGCAAGGCGUAUUGGGUAAAUUAGAUUUUUACUCCAUUGCUCAAUUAUGUGUAAAAGCAUUUUAUAGGUUAUAGGUGGUGAGGUUUUAUGAGUGAACUAAAGUUCAUAUGCCCCAAUUUAUAGCUACUUUAUGAUGCCAGUUUUAUUUUUAUGAAUCGUAUUGCAUGAUCUUUAUCUUUGUGGUAUUGGUCAGAACUUGGACUGGUAUAGUGUUUAAUCAUAUGCCUUUAAUAUAUCAGUGACAAUAUUUUGUUUAGCCUUUACCAAAUAUUAUAUAAAUAUUUUCUAAGUGUGUGUUUUCUUAGGAUUAAGCAGUAUUUUUUACUUUAUUAUAUAUAUAUAUAUAU